rnacentral:rRNA from 1 species
UACGGAGGGAGCUAGCGUUGUUCGGAAUUACUGGGCGUAAAGCGCACGUAGGCGGCUUUUUAAGUCAGGGGUGAAAUCCCGGGGCUCAACCCCGGAACUGCCCUUGAAACUGGGAAGCUAGAAUCUUGGAGAGGCGAGUGGAAUUCCGAGUGUAGAGGUGAAAUUCGUAGAUAUUCGGAAGAACACCAGUGGCGAAGGCGACUCGCUGGACGAGUAUUGACGCUGAGGUGCGAAAGCGUGGGGAGCAAACAGG